rnacentral:lncRNA from 10 species
ACCGACUCUCUUUUCGGACUCAGUCCGCCUGCACCCGGGUGAAAUAAACAGCCAUGUUGCUCACACAAAGCCUGUUUGGUGGUCUCUUCACACGGACGUGCAUGAAAUUUGGUGCCGUGACUCGGAUCGGGGGACCUCCCUUGGGAGAUCAAUCCCCUGUCCUCCUGUUCUUUGCUCCACGAGAAAGAUCCACCUACGACCUCAGGUCCUCAGACUGACCAGCCCAAGGAACAUCUCACCAAUUUUAAAUCAGAAGGCAGGAAUGUCAGGCCUCUGAGCCCAAGCCAAGCCAUGGCAUCCCCUGUGAUUUGCACAUGUACGCCCAGAUGGCCUGAAGUAACUGAAGAAUCACAAAAGAAGUGAAUAUGCCCUGCCCCACCUUAACUGAUGACAUUCCACCACAAAAGAAGUGUAAAUGGCCAGUCCUUGCCUUAAGUGAUGACAUUACCUUGUGAAAGUCCUUUUCCUGGCUCAUCCUGGCUCAAAAAGCACCCCCACUGAGCACCUUGCGACCCCCACUGCUGCCUGCCAGAGAACAACCCCCCUUUGACUGUAAUUUUCCUUUACCUACCCAAAUCCUAUAAAACGGCCCCACCCCUAUCUCCCUUCACUGACUCUCUUUUCGGACUCAGUCCGCCUGCACCCGGGUGAAAUAAACAGCCAUGUUGCUCACACAAA